rnacentral:misc_RNA from 1 species
AAUGCUAAAACACAAUUUAAUAGGUAUAAUGAUAAUUUUUAUCCUAAGAAGUAGUUCUAAAUUGAAAUAAACAGGUAGGCUGUUAGUUAACUUCUAAUGGUACCCCAAGACGAGGAAAGAAGAAAAAAGGCAACAUAGAACAGUCAGAGAAGGUUGAAAAGACAAGUCACCUCAACGCUAUAUUGACAUCAUAAGAGAAGUACUACCAGGAGUGGAACAAAGUCAAAGCUGUCUUCAUGAUCUGGAUCCAUAGUCUGAAUGAACUAUGAAGAGCUUCCAUUCAGGAUAAUUUCCAGCUACAAUAGUGUCAUAGAGGUCCUG